CAAUAUUCUCUUAAAAUAGCUCAAAAUUCCGUAGAAAUUCGUCUCGAUGAGAUGUACGACAUGUCCUGUUGCUGCCGUACGUACUACUAGUACUAAUCUAAGCGGCUGAGCAGCGCCGGUCGAAGAAGGAAGAGUGUUUCAGCUCGGCGAGCAUUUGCUGCUGGGUGUGUGCAGUACGCAUGUUGGAGAGGGAGUUGUACUACCAAACCUUGGGACAGGUCAGCAUCGUGUACUCCAGCUUUGCUCUCCCCUUGUACUGAUGGAUGGGCAAAUUGGCAGGCUAUGAGAUGUGGUACUAGCUAGUACUACUGUACUAGCAGUGGAAUGGUUCAAGGCAAAGACAUUGCGUUGCGUGUGUAUAUAUACAUCUCCCAUGUUUCUUGAAUCUUGACGAUGAUGGCGUUGGCCUAACCGGAUUUGCAGUGCAUCAGGUAAGGGAAAAAGGAUGGUUAGAUAGAGAGAAGGGGAGUUCUGUGAUUGGAGAGGAGAGGAGACAGGGAUGAGGCAGAGCAUGGGAUGGGGCUAUCAACAGAUGUAGAUUAUUCCUUGCACAAGAGAUGAUGAUGAGCUGUGAAUGAGUUCUGAGAGAUGGCUGGUGUUGUUGUUGCUCCCUCCCCUGCACUGCCUCUUCCCUGGCUCCCCUGCACACCUCUCUCUCUCUCUCUCUCUCUCUGUGUGUUAGUAUAUUGUUUUUAUGUUUUAGUAAUUAUUUUCCUUCCAUAAGUGAUACGGUAUUUGUAGCAUGUAGGUAGAAAAAAAAAUGAAACUAGAGUGAUGUGACACUUCAAGGGCUGUUGCAAAUUAACACAUUUUAAAAUGGACCAAGCGUACUAUUUCUCAGCAUGUGGUUCUAGCUCAAAACAUGCAUUUCAUUCGGCAUGCCAUGCUAGUUUUAAGCUCAGUAUAGCAUUUCAAUAAUUUAUUUGACAUACUAAAUCUAGCUCAAAACUGCAUUUCAUACGGUAUGUCAUCCACGUUUCUAGCUAAAAAUAGCAUUUCAUUUGGCAUUGCUAUGCUAGUUUCUAGCUCAAAAUAGCAUUCUAAUUUACAUGCAUUGAUAAUUCCUAGUUCAAAAUAGUAAUUUAAGGGAUCUUUUUCCACUUGAACCCGGAGCUGUUUUAGUGCAGGGGAGGAGGAAACUGCGCGGUCUGAUGGAGAUUGGGCAAGAUUGGGACGGAAGGAAGCAGAACAAAGCGAAAAAUUCAAGAUAUGCUUUGCGAUUUGCCAAUUGCAAUAGUUUGCAAUAGAAUCUCCGUAGUAUAAUUUUUGGCAUGUCCUGCUGUAACUGCCGGAAAGAACAAAAGAAAAGCUCAAUCUUGGUUUUCAGACCAUGCAAUGCAAUGAUGAACCGUUUGUUACUACUCCAUCAUGACAUCCAAAAGUUCACUCAUUUUCUGCUGUUGAGAUCAUGUGUCUUCAACUAGGGCCCUGUUUUUAGAUUCCAA
rnacentral:lncRNA from 1 species